rnacentral:rRNA from 1 species
UGCAGCAUGCCGCGUGUAUGAAGAAGGCCUUCGGGUUGUAAAGUACUUUCAGCGGGGAGGAGGGGGUGGUUAAUAACCACAGCAAUUGACGUUACCCGCAGAAGAGCACCGGCUAACUCCGUGCCAGCAGCCGCGGUAAUACGGAGGGUGCAAGCGUUAAUCGGAAUUACUGGGCGUAAAGAGCACGCAGGCGGUCUGUCAAGUCGGAUGUGAAAUCCCCGGGCUCAACCUGGGAACUGCAUUCGAAACUGGCAGGCUAGAGUCUUUAGAGGGGGGUAGAAUUCCAGGUGUAGCGGUGAAAUGCGUAGAGAUCUGGAGGAAUACCG